CGGACGGGUGAGUAAUGUCUGGGAAACUGCCCGAUGGAGGGGGAUAACUACUGGAAACGGUAGCUAAUACCGCAUAACGUCGCAAGACCAAAGAGGGGGACCUUAGGGCCUCUUGCCAUCGGAUGUGCCCAGAUGGGAUUAGCUAGUAGGUGGGGUAAUGGCUCACCUAGGCGACGAUCCCUAGCUGGUCUGAGAGGAUGAUCAGCCACACUGGGACUGAGACACGGCCCAG
rnacentral:rRNA from 1 species